CCGGCCGUAAACGGUGGACACUAGGUGUUGGAGGCAUCGACCCCUCCAGUGCCGCAGCUAACGCAUUAAGUGUCCCGCCUGGGGAGUACGACCGCAAGGUUGAAACUCAAAGGAAUUGACGGGGGCCCGCACAAGCGGUGGAGCAUGUGGUUUAAUUCGACGCAACGCGAAGAACCUUACCCAGGCUUGACAUGCACUGGACAGGUGUGGAAACACACCCUCCCUUCGGGGCCGGUGCACAGGUGCUGCAUGGCUGUCGUCAGCUCGUGUCGUGAGGUGUUGGGUUAAGUCCCGCAACGAGCGCAACCCUUGUCGUUAGUUGCCAGCGGGUAAUGCCGGGCACUCUAGCGAGACUGCCGGUCUUAAGCCG
rnacentral:rRNA from 1 species